CUGUGCUAUCUGCUUAAGAUGGGAGUGGCCUGGGUCUCCAAAAGCAUUGGAAAAGUGCAAUUUAGAAGCCGCUUUCUUUGAAGGUCAUUUUUUGAAAGUGCUGUUCGACAGAAUGGGAAGAAUUCUUGAUCAGCCAUAUGAUGUAAACUUACAAGUAACCUCAGUGUUAUCUAGACUUUCUCUCUUCCCUCAUCCACACAUCCACGAGUACCUUUUGGAUCCUUACGUGAACCUCGCUCCUGGCUGUAGAUCUCUCUUCUCUGUAAUUGUCAGGGUUGUUGGAGACCUUAUGCUUCGAAUCCAGCGUAUUCAAGACUUUACUCCCAAGCUUCUGUUAGUCAGAAAGCGGUUACUUGGUUUGGAACCUGAAGGCCCUAUCUGAAUAUUUCUGUUACUCAGUACUUGCAAAAACAGUGACUAAAAUGCACUAUGCUGAGUGGAA
rnacentral:lncRNA from 1 species